rnacentral:tRNA from 1 species
GCCGAUGUAGCUCAAUUGGUAGAGCGGCUGAUUUGUAAUCAGCAGGUUGCAGGUUCGACACCUGUCAUCGGCUCCA